UUUUUUAAUUUGUUCCGACGGUUCUUCUUCUGUUUGGUGGCUCAGUUCUACCAAAGCCAAAUUAGUGAAUUCUUUGCAUCUUCGGGAUGUUUUUCUCAUCAUCCAAACAGAGUAUUAAGUUUGUCUUUGUUCAAUUUUGUUUUAAUUUUUAGCUUUCAAAUUUGGUGACUAGCUUGCUUAAAAUUUGAAAGGUGAUUCGUUAGAUUUUUUAUUCAUAUAUUACGAGAAAAAAACUUAUUUAUUAUUUUUUUUUGGAAAUUUCUUCAAAAAUCAAUGCUCCAGAUGAAUGUGACAGUGAGUCAGUGACACUGUUGUGGAUAACCUUAACCUGAGAUAUUAUGAAAUUUUGGUUAUUGGCUGGAUUUGGGCUUUUUAGAAAUGUUUUUCAACUUUUCAAUCUACAAAUUAAGAAGCCAGUCUCUGUAUAAGUGCUGGUGGUGAUAUAUUCUCGGAUGUCUGAUUUAUGUUAAUCUUAAUACCAAUUCCCAUCCGGCUUGGUUUCGAACGACAUACAUUGCAAAAAGCGUUAGGACCAUUUAGAAUCCUGCAAGCUGGUAUAUUCAGGCAACAACUGAUCUUGUUAUAGAUUUCUUCAGGUAAUGUUGACUUCUUACUUGAUAUAUUCACAGAAUAAUGAUCCUGUUACACCAUUUUCAGUUGUUUUUAUGUCAAAGUACAUGGAAGGGAAUGUCAAUUGGUGCAUUUCUAAUCUUACACCUAAAAAAUCAAGGCUGAUGAGCUUUCAACAGAUUUCUUCAGGUAAUGGCUAUUUCUUACUUGAUAUUGUUGCACUAUUACACUUUUUGUAGUUGUUUUUCUGUCAGAGUACUUGGAAGGGAAUGUGAAAAAUUGGUUUAUUUAUUUUCUAACUCCUGAAAAAUAUAUCUAUAGUGGUUGAUGAGCUUUCAUCAGAUUUCUUCAGGUAAGUGAUGAUUUCUCUUUCAAUUGUGAAUCUUGAUUGGAAAAACAAUGAAAAAGCAUAUUUUCCUUCUUAGAUUAGAGCUCAAUGUUUAUUUAAAUUGUAAAUUUAUAUCUGUUUUGAUUGUUCAAGAAUUGUACCAUAUAUCUCAUUCUUUCAGCAAGUACAAGUCCAGAAAUUCUUGGAGCGCAUGCUCUGUACAUGGUUUGUUAUUGAGGAACUGAUAAAUGGUUGUCAAUUUCCAUGGAUUGGAUUUUCUGUCAAUUGAUAAUAGGUCUUCUAUGACUCUUCUAUAGAUUUCCAGAUAUGGUCUGAAUAUAUCCAGUGAACAAAUAAUCUAAUACCUAAUCCAUUUUAGAUCCAAGAGUAACCAGCACUACCAUUGUCAACUCCGCAAAUUUUAGUUGUUGAUUCCACUAAACAAGCGCAACAUACAUUGGGUGGUAGGGCACGUGGACUUGAAAGAGCGUCGCAUGACUGUAUAUGAUUCAGAUAAGGCUGGUAACCGAUACAAGGGACAAAUUUAUUUCCAGAAAUUAUGCAUAAUGUUACUAUAUUUACUGCGGUCUGCAUCCUUUUAUGAGCAGCGGCCGGAUCUUGUAGACUCCGUUGACGAGUUUACAUGUGAAUUGGCACAAAAUACCCCUCAGCAAAGUAACGGUGGUGACUGUGGCAUAUUUACACUCAAGACCAUCGAAUUUUUACAUGCUAGAUUACCAUUGACAUUCACACAAGAUGACAUGGAGUUCUUUAGGAAGAAGUAUGCAUAUGAGGCUUACAACAAAGAACUAAGCAUAUGAGCUGCGUGGUGAUGCAUUUUUCUUUCCUUUUGUUAUGUUUAUAGAUGCAUAUUAUUUAUUAUAUUUCACUUUUAAUUGUGAAUAUAAUGGUGGCUUAUAAUGUUCAUUUAACAAAGAUAACAAUGUGGUAUUGAUGUCAGGAUAAGUAAUUGACCUUAUAGGAAA